rnacentral:sRNA from 1 species
CACCAAAGAAGAUGUAUUUGUACAUCAGGUAAGAGGGAUUAUAAAUACUACAUUUGCUAUGUGAGGAGAGGGUGUGUAAUCUUCUGUCAGCCCUUUCCCAAAAACUGCCAUCAAGAAGAAUAACCCACGGAAAUAUCUGCGCAGUGUAGGAGAUGGAGAAACUGUAGAGUUUGAUGUGGUUGAAGGAGAGAAGGGUGCAGAAGCUGCCAAUGUGACUGGCCCGGAUGGAGUUCCUGUGGAAGGGAGUCGUUACGCUGCAGAUCGGCGCCGUUACAGACGUGGCUACUAUGGAAGGCGCCGUGGCCCUCCCCGGAAUGCUGGUGAGAUUGGAGAGAUGAAGGAUGGAGUCCCAGAGGGAGCACAACUUCAGGGACCGGUUCAUCGAAAUCCAACUUACCGCCCAAGGUACCGUAGCAGGGGACCUCCUCGCCCACGACCUGCCCCAGCAGUUGGAGAGGCUGAAGAUAAAGAAAAUCAGCAAGCCACCAGUGGUCCAAACCAGCCGUCUGUUCGCCGUGGAUACCGGCGUCCCUACAAUUACCGGCGUCGCCCGCGUCCUCCUAACGCUCCUUCACAAGAUGGCAAAGAGGCCAAGGCAGGUGAAGCACCAACUGAGAACCCUGCUCCACCCACCCAGCAGAGCAGUGCUGAGUAACACCAGGCUCCCCA